GGGGGCCGAGCGCUCGGCCCGCUGGUGCUGCCCCCCCCAGCCCUCGGUCCGGGCGCGCACGAUGCCGGCUCGGAAGGCGGCGUCCGCAGCUGGCUUUGAGCGUGGAUUUCUCAGCCCUCAAUGUAGACGUUUAAGUUGGAAGGAGCAAAUCAAAAGCAAGCUGGGCCUCCUCUGGGAAGACUGACUCCAGGCCUGGGGCAGAAAUGGAGCAGGGUGACCUGGGAACAUCCUGUUAUCCCAGAAAGCAAGAAUGUCACCAAGGAUAUUCUUGGUCACUGGCUGUGGCAGAGCUGGGACCACUGAAGCAUCAUUAAGAGUAGGAACUGUAAUGGUUCAGAACACCUCAAUUAUGUUGAAACCUCUUCGUUCAUAAUGUUCUCUUAAAAUGUACAUUGUCUUAGAAGAAUGCUAAGGAGCCCAAAGCACUGUUUUUUGAAAACUGGCUGAAAAAAGAAAGCACGACACAUUUAUUAUCCUAAUUUUCUGCACAAACUAUAGCUCGGUAUAACCAAGUAUUGAGGAAGGGAAAUUUCUCCUCGUAGCAGUAUUACAGCUAGUGGAGGAAGGGCUGGAGGCACUAGAACAUGGCCAUCGUGCUGCAUCUAAGGAGCCCAUGCAUCUAGGCACUGAGCACAUGUGGCCGAUGCACCACACACACAAAAGAGACCUCCCACCCUUCUGUGUGCCCUGAUGGAAGCCCACAGUGCUACCUGUGAAAUGCUCUUACCCCAAAAAUCAAACCUGAAUCUGACUGGGCCUCUGUAUCACAGGUUGGCAGAUGACAUCCUGUUGGCAAAUCUGGCCUGCUUGCUUGUUUUUUAAAUAAAGCUUUACUGAAACACA